AUAGCACGGGGCCGUUCUUUCUAAGCCCACACCUCUAACUAAACAACACUGCCUGCACAUACUACACAUGCUAAGUGGUUAGGUAUUGGUUUAAAGGCUUGUGCGACCUACGCAGGCGUCACCGUCAUUCUUGUCGAGGACUGCACCCACGCUGUAUUACUCAAUCAGCUACAAAUUUGUGCAACCCUACUACUUUUAACUUUUGCAACCCUAUACUAGCAGCGUGUAUAAUUUCAUCGUCGUCUGUCUGUUUCUCAUAGUUUUAAAAUAUGUGUUAAUGAUAACAUUCGUCAAUUAAAGUAAUGAAAUUGUAA